UACCCGCAGCAUAAGUGGUGGUCAUUAUUAUUGGGCCUAAAGCGUCCGUAGCUGGCUUGUUAGAUGCCUGGGUAAAUCGAUGCGCUCAACGCAUCGAAUUCCGGGUAGACCGGCAAGCUCGAGACCGGGAGAGGCGUGAGCUACUCGGGGGGUAGGGGUAAAAUCCUGUAAUCCUCCGGGGAGGACCAGUGGCGAAGGCGUCACGCUAGAACGGCUCUGACAGUGAGGGACGAAGCCCUGGGGCGCAAACCGG
rnacentral:rRNA from 1 species